CAGCUAGUUGGUAAGGUAACGGCUUACCAAGGCUACGAUGGGUAGGGGUCCUGAGAGGGAGAUCCCCCACACUGGUACUGAGACACGGACCAGACUCCUACGGGAGGCAGCAGUGAGGAAUAUUGGACAAUGGGCGCAAGCCUGAUCCAGCCAUGCCGCGUGCAGGAUGACGGUCCUAUGGAUUGUAAACUGCUUUUGCACAGGAAGAAACAACUCUACGUGUAGAGUCUUGACGGUACUGUGAGAAUAAGGAUCGGCUAACUCCGUGCCAGCAGCCGCGGUAAUACGGAGGAUCCAAGCGUUAUCCGGAAUCAUUGGGUUUAAAGGGUCCGUAGGCGGUUUAGUAAGUCAGUGGUGAAAGCCCAUCGCUCAACGGUGGAACGGCCAUUGAUACUGCUAGACUUGAAUUAUUAGGAAGUAACUAGAAUAUGUAGUGUAGCGGUGAAAUGCUUAGAGAUUACAUGGAAUACCAAU
rnacentral:rRNA from 1 species